CCGUCACAACGGCUUCCUGGCGUGACGGCGAAGCAUCAGCGGAGCA
rnacentral:ncRNA from 1 species